ACGGAGGAUCCAAGCGUUAUCCGGAUUUACUGGGUUUAAAGGGUGCGUAGGCGGUUUUAUAAGUGAGAGGUGAAAGCCUAUAGCUUAACUAUAGAAAGCCUUUGGAAAUUGCAAGUCUGGAGUAUGGUUGAGGAAGUUGGAAUGCGUGGUGUAGCGGUGAAAUGCGUAGAUAUGACGCAGAACACCAGCGGCGAAGGCAGCUUACCAGCCCGUUACUGACACUGAGGCACGAAAGCGUGGGGAUCAAACAG
rnacentral:rRNA from 1 species